rnacentral:rRNA from 1 species
UGAGCGAGUCCUCUGGGUCCACCUCCCACCCGUGUUUAUCGUACCUUGUUGCUUCGGCGGGCCCGCCUCACGGCCGCCGGGGGGCAUCCGCCCCCGGGCCCGCGCCCGCCGAAGACACACAAACGAACUCUUGUCUGAAGAUUGCAGUCUGAGUACUUGACUAAAUCAGUUAAAACUUUCAACAACGGAUCUCUUGGUUCCGGCAUCGAUGAAGAACGCAGCGAAAUGCGAUAAGUAAUGUGAAUUGCAGAAUUCAGUGAAUCAUCGAGUCUUUGAACGCACAUUGCGCCCCCUGGUAUUCCGGGGGGCAUGCCUGUCCGAGCGUCAUUGCUGCCCUCAAGCACGGCUUGUGUGUUGGGCUCUCGCCCCCCGCUUCCGGGGGGCGGGCCCGAAAGGCAGCGGCGGCACCGCGUCCGGUCCUCGAGCGUAUGGGGCUUCGUCACCCGCUCUGUAGGCCCGGCCGGCGCCCGCCGGCGAACACCAUCAAUCUUAACCAGGUUGACCUCGGAUCAGGUAGGGAUACCCGCUGAACUUAAGCAUAUCCAAUAAGCCGGAGGAA